rnacentral:lncRNA from 1 species
GUAAGACCAAGGAAAGUAAAUAUAGUUUAGAAUUACAAUUAAAAAAAUAUGGUAUUGGCUAAAGAACAGACCUUUCUCAUAUAUCACUCUAUAUUCUGUGUGGUUAUCACACAUGAGCAGUUAGUAUUAGCCUCCUGCUCAAGUCUCCAGUGAUUUUCUAUUGUCUAUAGUAGUGAUGUCCAACAUAACUCUAUAAUGAUGGAAGUAUUUUAUAAUCUAUAUCGUCCAACAGGGUAGCCACGAGCUGCAUGUGGCUAAUGUGCACUUGAAACAUAACUCAUGAAAUUGUGGUACUGAAUUUUUUAUUUUGCUUAAUUAAUUAAUUUUAUUUAUUUAUUUAUUUAUUCAUUCAUUCAUUUAUUUAGGACAGAGUUGCACUCUGUUGGCCAGUGUGGAGUGUAGUGGUGCAGUCACUACUCACUGUGGUCUUAACCUCCCGGAUUCAAGCCAUCCUCCCACCUCAGACUCUCUUGCUCUGUUGCUCAGACUGGAGUACAGUGUUGUGAUCAUAGCUCACUGCAGCCUCAAUCUCCCAGGCUCCCAAUCCUUCCACCUCAGCCUCCUGAGUAGCUGGGAAAACAGAUCCAGAGAUAUCUGAGUCUAUUUGCCUGAAAUAACAAGGAAUCUUCAGUGAGUUAACUCAAUAUAACAGGUAAGAGAAGUCAGGAAGACUAGGUUUAUUCAAUAACUUUUCUGAUAUCUAAAGGACAAUAAAUCUGAAUAUAACAUCUUUCACUUGUUGUGUACAUUAGCUCCCAACUGCAUGGUUAGGUCCUGAAAUUGGC